rnacentral:rRNA from 1 species
AAAUGUGAUAAGUAAUGUGAAUUGCAGAAUUCAGUGAAUCAUCGAAUCUUUGAACGCACCUUGCACCUUUUGGUUAUUCCAAAAGGUACGCCUGUUUGAGUGUCAUGAAAACCUCUCAUUCCAACUCUUUAUUUAUUUAUUUAUUUAUAUAAUAUAAAUAUAAAAGAUUGUGAUAUGGAUGUUGAGUGCUGCCGUGAUCUGGCUCACUUUAAAUAUAUAAGUACUUUUAUUGAAGAAAUAAAUGGAUAUUUACUCAGUGUAAUAUUUACUAUUCAUUGAGGAGUGUAGUCAUUUACUGACUUACAGCCAUUUGCCUACUCAAUAAAUAGCUUCCUAACCCUACAUUUUAAAUUAAUCUUUUAGACCUCAAAUCAGGUGGGACUACCCGCUGAACUUAAGCAUAUCAAUAAGCGGAGGAAAAGAAACUAACAAGGAUUCCCCUAGUAACGGCGAGUGAAGAGGGAAAAGCCCAAAUUUGUAAUC